AGAGUUUGAUCAUGGCUCAGGACGAACGCUGGCGGCGUGCCUAAUACAUGCAAGUCGAGCGGGCCAGAACGAAGGGCAACCGGAGUUCUGGUUUAGCGGCGCACGGGUGAGUAACGCGUAGGUAAUCUACUCCGAAGACCGGGAUAACACCUCGAAAGGGGUGCUAAUACUGGAUACGCUCUUUCUCUCGACGGAGGGGAAGAGGAAAGGUGGCGUAAGGCGCAAGCCUGCUACCACUUCGGAAUGAGCCUGCGUCCUAUUAGCUAGUUGGUAGGGUAAUGGCCUACCAAGGCUAUGAUGGGUAGCUGGUCUGAGAGGACGGUCAGCCACACUGGGACUGAGACACGGCCCAGACUCCUACGGGAGGCAGCAGUAGGGAAUAUUGGGCAAUGGGCGAAAGCCUGACCCAGCGACGCCGCGUGGGCGAUGAAGGUCUUUGGAUUGUAAAGCCCUUUUCAGGGAGACGAAGGGAUCGUCGGGAAAUACCUGAUGAUCUUUGACGGUAUCCCUGGAAUAAGCCCCGGCUAACUACGUGCCAGCAGCCGCGGUAAUACGUAGGGGGCAAGCGUUGUCCGGAAUUACUGGGUGUAAAGGGCGUGUAGGCGACCCCUUCAGUUGAAUGUGAAAUCUCCCGGCUCAACUGGGAGGAGUCAUUCAAUACUGAGGGGAUAUGAGGACAGAAGAGGGAAGUGGAAUUCCCGGUGUAGCGGUAAAAUGCGUAGAUAUCGGGAGGAACA
rnacentral:rRNA from 1 species